rnacentral:lncRNA from 10 species
CUUAAAUCUAAAAAGAGCCUCUCACCUGAGGCCUUCACCUGAGAGCUGGAGCCUGUGCGAUGGAUUAUCUGGACAGGGACCCCAAUGAACAGGGCUCUGCUGGAGUGAGGAAGCUGACUGAGGGAAGAACCAGAAGGCUGCCAAAAUACAAUUGUGUGCCUUUAAAGGAAAUAACAACAAGAAUUAGGAGCGCCCUGGAGGCAAGUUUCAGAAGCUGGGAAGUUUAAGAUCAAGGCGCCAGCAGAUUUGGUGUCUGAUGCUCUCCACACCAGUCCAUGGCUGCCGUGGUGUCAAUGAUUCAGGACUGUUUUUUUAAUCUCUUCAAUUCCUCUUCCAGAGACAUGAAGUUAAAACCAGGAAAAAUCAAGACAGAACAACACAUCCUGUGGUGUCUGGACAGAGCUGACCCUGUGCAACACAGACCUCAAUGGACCCUGAUAUCUUCUUGGUUAGUUCCAUGACUUGACUAAAUGGGGGCUUGGCUAUCUUGACAGAGUCUCAUUCCAGCCCUGUUCACAUGCUCGGUGGUUGUGGAAAUACAGACUCCAAGUCAUUCAACACUUUUAGCACCUUCCUGAGACCAUUUACUCUCUAAAAUGGAGUCUACCUGCUUCCACCUGAGAGCUAAAGAACCUUCUCUUUGAUCAAGCUGAGUUCCAGAGUUCCAAGUUUCCCAGGAUUCAGAGAUCCCUGGCCCAGCUGUGAUAUGCAGUCUCAAAACACAAAACAUCUGGAGAGAUGAUAUGAACAGUUCAUCUUUCCCUAUUUAUAUUUGAAGGCUAAGGCAAUGUUUAUGGAAUAAAGAAUUUGUUUAAAUGAAUGUCUGAACAUUAUGAAUUCCUUGUUAUACUUUAUCUGGCUUCACAAUUGAUGUAGUGAACCAAGAUCUCUCUAUACAUAUACUCACAUGCAUACACAUACACAUAGGCUUAUAGUCAUAAAGCUAUAUAGUCAUAUAUACAUGUAUCUAUAUAUCAAAAAAGAGAUUGUUAUUUUUCUUUAUGUACCUAGGGAAAUCCCUGAACCUAUUAAGGCCACUAUAUUCAUUUCUCUAAAGUCUAAAAGCAGACUGGAAGGAUGGAAUAUGAGUAUAACACGAAAGUAAUAUUUUUCACAAAGUCAUGGCUAUUAAGAACCUUAUAGUCUUUGAGUGGAGUGUAUAAUUUGAAAUUAAAGUUUCAUAACUGAGUAUCCUUCUUUUUAGAAGAAAAAUGUUCUCAUAAAUCUGUUACCCAAAAUGCUUUUGAAAGAAAAUUUACCAUUUUCUUCAACUUUAAAAUCAUACUUGCAAGGGAAGCUCUGUGCAGAGAUGUUUGGCAUAAAUAUGAAUGACAAUAUAUAAAAACUAUUACCACACUACUAAAAAAUGUUGGGCAGCUUUGACCUGGUUAUUUGAUUGAACUUUCUGAAUCUGAUUUGUCAACUGAAGACAAGUAAAAGUUUUUUUACAAAUUCUAUCCUUAGCCUCUCAAUUAAUCUCAAAUAUUUGUUCAGAGAAAUAAUUGAAAAUUCUGACUGUAUCCUGACUGAAAUGUGGAUCACUGGGGGCCUCAAAGCUUCAGUGUGUUUAGUUCCCUAUGGUUUUGAGGCACAUGCCCUAUGUGAACCUUUUGAAGGACAGAAAAAUUCAUAACUGACUAGCAAUUGGUUAACUUUAGUUAAAAAGUGAAACACCUACUCUAGUGGUGCAAAAGAUGUCUGCAAAGGGCAAAAUCUUCAGCUUUGAAAGGCAUUCAGCAAUGUCAAUAGACUAGCACUUGAGAGUCACCUAAAAUUUAUUUGUAUUACUUUUCACCCAAUUUUAAAGAAGAAUAUUUCUAAGAUAAAAGCUUAAAACUUUUUAAUUAAAAAAAAAAAACUAAACUCAGUACUCCUAAGCCUUCAUAGAUAUAUACUUCAGUAUCUUGCAUGACAUUGAAAGCUCUAAUAACCAAAUUCUUUCCUGACUCCUAAUUAUGUGUCCUUGUUCUUCUGUUUAAAGUAACAUUUUGUGUCUAUUUGUGUAUAUGCAUGUGUACACAUUUGUGUGAGUUCACAAAUGAUUACUCUGAUGAAUGUUAAUUUAUAUCAAUCUAACCAAAAUAAAAUUAGAGAAAUCUU